GCGGUCGUGGCGAAAAGGUAGACGCGCAGCACUGAGGGUGCCGUUCCUUAACGGGAGUGGAAGUUCAAAUCUUCUCGACCGCACCA
rnacentral:tRNA from 1 species